AUACUUACCUGGACGGGGUCAAUGGGCGAUCAAGAAGGCCCAUGGCCUAGAUUGGCGGCCUCCAUUGCACUUAGGAGGGGCGCCCGUCUGAGGUCGGCCCAAGUGGUCGAGCCUACGUCAUAAUUUGUGGUAGAGGGGGCCUGCGUUCGCGCGGCCCCUGC
rnacentral:snRNA from 1 species